UGGGGAAUUUUGGACAAUGGGCGAAAGCCUGAUCCAGCAAUGCCGCGUGUGUGAAGAAGGCCUUCGGGUUGUAAAGCACUUUUGUCCGGAAAGAAAUCCUUGGCUCUAAUACAGUCGGGGGAUGACGGUACCGGAAGAAUAAGCACCGGCUAACUACGUGCCAGCAGCCGCGGUAAUACGUAGGGUGCAAGCGUUAAUCGGAAUUACUGGGCGUAAAGCGUGCGCAGGCGGUUUGCUAAGACCGAUGUGAAAUCCCCGGGCUCAACCGGGAACUGCAUUGGUGACUGGCAGGCUAGAGUAUGGCAGAGGGGGGUAGAAUUCCACGUGUAGCAGUGAAAUGCGUAGAGAUGUGGAGGAAUACCGAUGGCGAAGGCAGCCCCCUGGGCCAAAUACUGACGCUCAUGCACGAAAGCGUGGGGAGCAAA
rnacentral:rRNA from 1 species